rnacentral:rRNA from 1 species
GACGAACGCUGGCGGCGUGCUUAACACAUGCAAGUCGAACGAUGAAGAAAAGAAUUGAAGCUUCGGCAGAAAUUCAUUUCGGAUUAGUGGCAGACGGGUGAGUAACGCGUGAGCAACCUACCUCUUACAAAGGGAUAGCCUCGGGAAACCGGGAUUAAUACCAUAUAACAUUGCGACGAAGCAUUUCGAUGCAAUCAAAGCUACGGCGGUAAGAGAUGGGCUCGCGUCCCAUUAACCAGAUGGUGAGGUAACGGCUCACCAUAGUAACGAUGGGUAACCGGCCUGAGAGGGUGAACGGUCACACUGGAACUGAGACACGGUCCAGACCCCUACGGGUGGCAGCAGUGGGGAAUAUUGCACAAUGGAGGGAACUCUGAUGCAGCGACGCCGCGUGAGUGAUGAAGGAAUUCGUUUCGUAAAACUCUGUUCUAUGGGAAGAAAAGGACUGUACCAUAGGAGAAAGCUCCGGCUAAAUACGUG